rnacentral:rRNA from 1 species
AAAAUGACUCUCGGCAACGGAUAUCUCGGCUCUCGCAUCGAUGAAGAACGCAGCGAAAUGCGAUACUUGGUGUGAAUUGCAGGAUCCCGUGAACCAUCGAGUCUUUGAACGCAAGUUGCGCCCGAAGCCUUUUGGCCGAGGGCACGUCUGCCUGGGUGUCAUGC